GAGGCUGCCAUGGUCCUACUGCUCCUCCUUGCACACUUCAAAGAAAAGUUAGAUGGGCUGAUCCUUCAAGCAGAUGAAUUCGCAACUCCGUCUGAUGUCCAGCAAUCUCUACAUCUGCCAGGGAGUCCACGACUUAUAAUUCUUGGUCAACCUCUAAGCAACAAGCGGUGGAUGUUAAGCAUGGAAGGUCAAGUUGUGUGUGAAGGAACACAGCCCAGCUUUGUCUCUGGCCUUGCAGCGCUGUUUGCCG